GUUUGGGGUUGUCGAAAGCAUCAAAGAAGAGGUGGAGGCUAUAUGUCCAAGGGUUAUAUCUUGUAUGGGAAUACUCACAAUUGCUGCCUCUGAAUUUGUAUCCUUGUUAGGUGGACCGAGCAAGGGAACCAAGGAGGUUUAAGGGGUAGUAGAAGAUCCAUAGCCAAGAGAGGGAAACUAUGAAGAAGAGUGUCGAUCGUCUUCAACAUACAAGGUGUAAGGUGGGCCAAGGUGACAAAUACUUCUAGGAAGGAGAGAUUGGAUUCAAUCAAACUUCAGUGGGACAACAACGGACUUGUCAAGUCCAUCGUUCAAUUUGGAGAGACUAAUCUCCAAAUUCCAAGUGAAGGGGUUGAGUUUAACCGAUAUAGUGGUUUUGUCUGUUAGGUGGACCGAACUAAGGGAACCAAAUAGGCCUAAGGGGUUGUAGAAGAUCCAUAACCAAUAGAGGAAAACUGUGAAGAAGAAUGUCGAUCGUCUUCAACAUACUAGGUGCUAGGGCAUAAUCCCGAGAAUGAUGCACUUCCUAACAAAAAUUCUGCUAGGAGUUUGUGGUUGUCGAAAGCAUCAAAGAAGAGGUGGAGGCUAUAUGUCCAAAGUUAGGUGGACCGAGGUGACAAAUACUUCUAAGAAGGAGAGAUUUGAUCCAAUCAAAUUUCAGUGGGACAACAACGGACUUGUCGAGUUCAUCGUUCCAUUUGGAGAGACUAAUCUCCGAAUUGCAAGUGAAGGAGUUGAGUUUAACCGAUAUAGUGGCUUUGUCUGCCCUAAAUAUCUCGAACAGUAUGCACAAGAGAAGGAGCUAUUGCAUUCGGGCCUGGAGCUUUUCAAAGGUGGAAGUGGUGACAGUAUUGUUCGUAGAUUUGGGGACAAUUCAACUGUAUUUUCUAAAAGCUUUGCUUCUAUUAUGAUUAAAAUAGGAAACAUCUCUCCUCUCACUGGUGAGAAGGGAAUUAUCAGAAGAAAAAAAAUGCAAUUCGGCAAUGGGGAAUUAAUUAGUUAGAGAACAAAGGAAUAUCAUGUGAAAAGAUGUGUUGAUUUUUGGUCUGCUUUGCUUUGGACUUAUAGGUCUGAUUUUUUCCUAGGUUUGAUUUAUUAUGAUCUCUGAUAUUAUGUAAUUACUUUAGAUUUGCUAGUAAAUGGUACCAAACUAAA